CAGUUUAGUAGUUUAAUGAAGAAUGCUAGCUUUGGGGGUUGGAGGUCUCUGGUUUGGAGUUGGCUGG
rnacentral:tRNA from 1 species